rnacentral:rRNA from 1 species
UUUGUCAAGCCUUUAAAGGAGGAUGUUUUGAACCUUGCAACCAUCCUGGAUUGCUUUGGUCGGGCCACGGGAUUAUGCACAAACUUCCAGAAAAGCUCUGUCGUCACCAUAAGAUGUGGGAGCUUGAACUUGGACGAGAUCCUCCAUGAGCUUCCGGCCUCCCGAGCCUCUUUCCCAGUGAAGUAUUUGGGCCUUCCUCUCUCCGUGUGGCAGCUCAAGAGGGCCGACUACCAAUACCUUGAGGACAAGGUCGCAAGCAACCUUGUCUCUUGGGAAGGUGGGAAUAUCACCACAAAGGGUCGGUGCGUUCUUGUCAAAUCAGUGCUCACCUCGCAGGUGAUCUUUCACGCCACUUCCCUCAUCAUCCCGCCCGGCACGGUUGCUAGCAUCAACAAGAUUGAGAGGGCUUUCCUCUGGUCUGGGACGGAUAAGACGACCGGAGCCAAGUGCAAGGUCAAUUGGGAGACGGUGUGCCGCCCCAAGGAUCUAGGGGGCAUUGGUGUGCUUCAUCUUGGGAAAUUUUCCCGUGCACUAAGAUUACGAUGGCCUUGGUAUGAGUGGAAUGACUCCCAUCGGAUGUGGGUGGGAAUGGGCAAUCCCUGUGACGAGGACGACAUGGACCUCUUCUAUGCUUCGACCACUAUCACUAUUGGCAAUGGGGCUAUUGCGCCUUUUUGGGACUCCCCUUGG